UUCGGCCUGGUUAUUCAUAACCCUUUGUUGUCCGACUCUGUUGCCUCCGGGGCGACCCUGCCUUCGGGCGGGGGCUCCGGGUGGACACUUCAAACUCUUGCGUAACUUUGCAGUCUGAGUAAACUUAAUUAAUAAAUUAAAACUUUUAACAACGGAUCUCUUGGUUCUGGCAUCGAUGAAGAACGCAGCAAACAUUACAAUAACGCCGGGCUUCGCCAGAUGAUUCUUAACGUUUGUUGUCGACUCUUUUGCCUCCGGGUGACCCUGCCUUCUGCGGGGGCUCCGGUUGGACACUUCAACUCUUGAGUAACUUUGCACUCGCAGUAAACUUAAUUAAUAAAUUAAAACUUUUACACGCAUCUCUUGGGUCUCGCUCUAUGAAAAAGCCCAAAAUCCUUUC
rnacentral:misc_RNA from 1 species